rnacentral:misc_RNA from 1 species
GAUGAAGAACGUAGCGAAAUGCGAUAAGUAAUGUGAAUUGCAGAAUUCAGUGAAUCAUCGAAUCUUUGAACGCACAUUGCGCCCCUUGGUAUUCCGAGGGGCAUGCCUGUUCGAGCGUCAUUAUAACCCUUCAAGCUCAGCUUGGUGUUGGGGCCUGCUGUAACUGGUAGCCCUUAAAAUCAGUGGCAGUGCUAUUAGGCUCUAAGCGUAGUAAUUCUUCUCGCUAUAGUGUGUAGUGAGCGCUUGCCAGAACCCCAAGCUUUUAUAUGAUUGACCUCGGAUCAGGUAGGGAUACCCGCUGAACUUAAGCAUAUCAAUAAGCGGAGGA